UGUAGCGUCAAUACAACGACCAAAAAAAAAAAACGGGCUUUGGAACGUGUUGUUUUUGCUUUUCUAACAUUAUCAAAACAAAAAAAGAGGUCUAGCAUGAUUAAACCUCUCCCCGAUGCUUCUGAAUGUCUUUUUAAUAAAAUACUCUUUGGCCCUAAAAAGACGAUUCAACCAGUUUGGAUCAACAACAUGGAAGACACCGUCCUAAGGAUGUCUGAAAGCAGCACUUGGACGAUGCUGAGGGUGAUGAAAACUCCAGUUCUACCAACACCCGCGCUGUGAAAGAGAGAUGAACAGGGCAACAAGGUCAACAGUGUUACCGACACACAAACUGCCGAGGAUCACUGCACAGCUGCUAACGGAGUCAACAAUAAUUUUAGUAUUUUGCAUGUAUGGAUCCUUUUUAAGAUGUG